rnacentral:rRNA from 1 species
CACGUAGGGUGCGAGCGUUGUCCGGAAUUAUUGGGCGUAAAGAGCUCGUAGGCGGUGUGUCGCGUCGGCCGUGAAAACCUGCAGCUUAACUGUGGGCUUGCGGUCGAUACGGGCAUCACUGGAGUUCGGCAGGGGAGACUGGAAUUCCUGGUGUAGCGGUGAAAUGCGCAGAUAUCAGGAGGAACACCGGUGGCGAAGGCGGCGCUCUGGGCCGGAACUGACGCUGAGGAGCGAAAGCGUGGGGAGCAAACAGG